GUGUGUGUGUGUGUGUGUGUGUGUGUGCAUGUGUGUUUGAAAGACAAAACGUGUGUGUGUGUGUGUGUUACCUACCUGGGCCUGUGGAGGCCAGUUUCUCAGACUCUCUGGGUGUUCUGAAGCUGACCGGGUCACUCGGAGGACUACUGCCUCCCAUGCUGAUGCUCUGAACAUGGACAAUGUACUCCGUGUCCUCCUCCAAGUCCCAUAAUGCACAGGAGCGCGUGGUCGUGUUCACUUCCUGGAUGUACCGCAGCAUGCGCACAUCCUUCUUCUGUAACCAACGACAACAGGAGGUGUUUGGGUUAAGAUUAGGGACGUAACACAAGGAUACAGACCAGAUAUCAGAUAUCUAACCUGCCCUAGCCCACUGCCCUAUCCACUGCCCUAUCCACUGACCAAUCCCACUGCCCUAUCCCACUGCCCUAUCCACUGACCAAUCCCACUGCCCUAUCCCACUGCCCUAUCCCACUGCCCUAUCCACUGACCAAUCCCACUGCCCUAGCCCACUGCCCAAUCCCACUGCCCUAUCCCACUGCCCUAUCCCACUGCCCUAUCCACUGCCCUAGCCCACUGCCCUAGCCCACUGCCCUAUCCACUGACCAAUCCCACUGCCCUAUCCCACUGCCCUAUCCCACUGCCCUAUCCACUGACCAAUCCCACUGCCCUAGCCCACUGCCCUAUCCACUGACCAAUCCCACUGCCCUAUCCCACUGCCCUAUCCCACUGCCCUAUCCACUGACCAAUCCCACUGCCCUAUCCCACUGCCCUAUCCCACUGCCCUAUCCACUGACCAAUCCCACUGCCCUAUCCCACUGCCCUAUCCACUGACCUAUCCCACUGACCAAUCCCACUGCCCUAUCCCACUGCCCUAUCCACUGACCUAUCCCACUUAGACAAAGCCUACUGUCCUAGCCCACUGUAUUGGUCCACUGAGACAAAGCCCACUGCCCCAGCCCACUCUAUUGGCUCACUGUAUUGGCCCACUGUCCUAGCCCACUGUCCUAGCCCACUGUCCUAGCCCACUGUAUUGGCCCACUGUCCUAGCCCACUGUAUUGGCCCACUGUCCUAGUCCACUGUGUUGGCCCACUGCCCUAGCCCACUGUAUUGACCCACUGCCCUAGCCCACUGUAUUGACCCACUGCCCUAGCCCACUGUAUUGGCCCACUGCCCUAGCCCACUGUCCUAGCCCACUGUCCUAGCCCACUGUCUUAGCCCACUGUCCUAGCGCGCUGUAUUUGCCCACUGUCCUAGCCCACUGUAUUGGCCCACUGCCCUAGCCCACUGUCCUAGCCCACUGUCCUAGCCCACUGUCUUAGCCCACUGUCCUAGCCCACUGUCUUAGCCCACUGUCCUAGCCCACUGUUUUUGCCCACUGUCCUAGCCCACUGUUUUUGCACACUGUCCUAGCCCACUGUCCUAGCCCACUGUAUUGGCCCACUGUCCUAGCCCACUGUCAUAGCCACUGUCCUGGCCCACUGUAUUGGCCCACUGUCCUAGUCCACUGUAUUGGCCCACUGUAUUGACCCACUGCCCUAGCCCACUGUAUUGACCCACUGCCCUAGACCACUGUAUUGGCCCACCUCCCUAGCCCACUGUAUUGGUCCACUGAGACAAAGCCCACUGCCCCAGCCCACUCUAUUGGCCCACUGUAUUGGCCCACUGUCCUAGCCCACUGUCCUAGCCCACUGUCCUAGUCCACUGUAUUGGCCCACUGUCCUAGCCCACUGUAUUGGCCCACUGCCCUAGCCCACUGUAUUGACCCACUGCCCUAGCCCACUGUAUUGGCCCACUGUCCUAGCCCACUGUAUUGGCCCACUGUCCUAGCCCACUGUAUUGGCCCACUGCCCUAGCCCACUGUAUUGACCCACUGCCCUAGCCCACUGUAUUGGCCCACUGCCCUAGCCCACUGUAUUGGCCCACUGCCCUAGACACCUGUCCUAGCCCACUGUAUUGGCCCACUGUAUUGGCCCACUGUCCUAGCCCACUGUAUUGGCCCACUGUCAUAGCCCACUGUAUUGGCCCACUGUAUUGGCCCACUGCCAUAGCCCACUGUUUUGGCCCACUGCCAUAGCCCACUGUAUUGGCCCACUGUCCUAGCCCACUGUAUUGGCCCACUGUCCUAGUCCACUGUAUUGGCCCACUGUCCUAGUCCACUGUCCUAGCCCACUGUAUUGGCCCACUGUCCUAGCCCACUGUAUUGGCCCACUGCCCUAGCCCACUGUAUUUGCCCACUGCCCUAGCCCGCUGUAUUUGCCCACUGCCCUAGCCCACUGUAUUGGUCCACUACCCUAGCCCACUGUCCUAGCCCACUGUCCUAGCCUACUGUAUUGGCCCACUGUCCUAGCCCACUGUAUUGGCCCACUGUAUUGACCCACUGUCCUAGCCCACUGUUUUGGCCCACUGUUCUAGCCCACUGUCCUGGCCCACUGUAUUGGCCCACUGUAUUGGCCCACUGUCCUACCCCACUGUUUUGGCCCACUGUUCUAGCCCACUGUCCUGGCCCACUGUAUUGGCCCACUGUCCUUGCCCACUGUCCUAGUUCAAUGUAUUGGCCCACUGUCCUAGCUCACUGUAUUGGCCCACUGUCCUAGCCCACUGUCCUGGCCCACUGUAUUGGCCCACUGUCCUAGCCUACUGUCCUGGCCCACUGUCCUGGCCCACUGUAUUGGCCCACUGUAUUGGCCCACUGUCCUGGCCCACUGUCCUGGCCCACUGUAUUGGCCCACUGUCCUAGCCCACUGUCCUGGCCCACUGUAUUGGCCCACUGUCCUAGCCUACUGUCCUGGCCCACUGUCCUGGCCCACUGUAUUGGCCCACUGUUUUGGCCCACUGUCCUGGCCCACUGUUUUGGCCCACUGUUUUGGCCCACUGUUUUGGCCCACUGUCCUAGCCCACUGUAUUGGCCCACUGUAUUGGCCCACUGUCCUUGUCCACUGUCCUAGUUCAAUGUAUUGGCCCACUGUCCUAGUCCACUGUCCUGGCCCACUGUAUUGGCCCACUGUCCUAGCCUACUGUCCUGGCCCACUGUCCUGGCCCACUGUAUUGGCUCACUGUCCUAGCCUACUGUCCUGGCCCACUUUCCUUGUUCACUGUUUUGGCCCACUGUCCUAGCCCACUGUCCCAGCCCACUGUAUUGGCCCACUGUCCUAGCCCACUGUAUUGGCUCACUGUAUUGGCUCACUGUCCUAGCCCACUGUCCUAGCCCACUGUAUUGGCUCACUGUCCUAGCCCACUGUCCUAGCCCACUGUAUUGGCUCACUGUAUUGGCUCACUGUAUUGGCUCACUGUCCUGGCCCACUGUCCUAGCCCACUGUCCUAGCCCACUGUAUUGGCUCACUGAGACAAAGCUACAUGAGUUUUCUGGGUCUCAGAAUCAGACAAGGUCACUCAUCACACAAUUGUAGUUCAACCAACCAACUCCCGACUUAAUCCAACACACAAACACAAACUCACAGACGUGCACUCACAGACAGAGACACACAAACACACACACUCCCCUACCUGUUGUGUGAUGGCGAAUCCGAUGACGGGAUCUCCCUCCAGUAUCUCCCAUGUGACUAUGGCUGUGUUCGCCUCCAGCUCUCUGAUCGUCACAUUGACAGGAGCCGACAGAGCAGAGUCUAUACACAGACACACACACACACGGGCGCACAGAGACACACAUGCAAAUACAUGCGCACACACACCACAGGAGAGGUGAGAAAAUGUCUAGGUAGAAAAACAGACAGACAGACAGACAGACAGACAGACAGACAGACAGACAGACAGACAGACAGACAGACAGACAGACAGACAGACAGACAGACAGACAGACAGACAGACAGACAGACGGACACCACAGGAGAGGUUUGAAAGUGUGUGACACACUGACAGAACCAACAGAACAGAAGGUGAGAAGGGUCAUAAUGUGUCUUUACUCCUGGUUUUGACAUCACACACCCUUCUGCUCUUAGUCUGCUGCCUCACACUGAAAGGUCAUAGCAACCUGUCAUAGCAACCUGUCAUAGCAACCUGUCACCUGCUCUUUGUCAGGGGAGAAGAGGUAACAUUAAAGGUCAUAGCAACCUGUCAUAGCAACCUGUCACCUGCUCUUUCUCAGGGGGAGAAGAGGUAACAUUAAAGGUCAUAGCAACCUGUCAUAGCAACCUGUCACCUGCUUUUUCUCAGGGGGAGAAGAGGUAACAUUAAAGGUCAUAGCAACCUGUCACAGCAACCUGUCAUAGCAACCUGUCACCUGCUCUUUCUCAGGGGGAGAAGAGGUAACGUUAAAGGUCAUAGCAACCUGUCAUAGCAACCUGUCAUAGCAACCUGUCACCUGCUCUUUCUCAGGGGGAGAAGAGGUAACAUUAAAGGUCAUAGCAACCUGUCAUAGCAACCUGUCAUAGCAACCUGUCACCUGCUCUUUCUCAGGGGGAGAAGAGGUAACAUUAAAGGUCAUAGCAACCUGUCACCUGCUCUUCGUCAGUGGGAGAAGAGGAGCCAGGUAACGUUACCGUAUUUAUAUAUCUAAUUUGUAUGUCUGUUUUCUGUUCUAUUUCAUUAAACUGUUGGGGAGAAGAUGGAUAAAUAAGAAUUUGUUGUUAACUGACUUGCCUAGUUAAAUAAAGAGGGAUAUUGUUCAA